GAUGAACGCUGGCGGCGUGCCUAAUACAUGCAAGUCGAGCGAACAGACGAGGAGCUUGCUCCUCUGACGUUAGCGGCGGACGGGUGAGUAACACGUGGAUAACCUACCUAUAAGACUGGGAUAACUUCGGGAAACCGGAGCUAAUACCGGAUAAUAUAUUGAACCGCAUGGUUCAAUAGUGAAAGACGGUUUUGCUGUCACUUAUAGAUGGAUCCGCGCCGCAUUAGCUAGUUGGUAAGGUAACGGCUUACCAAGGCAACGAUGCGUAGCCGACCUGAGAGGGUGAUCAGCCACACUGGAACUGACACACGGUCCAGACUCCUACGGGAGGCAGCAGUAGGGAAUCUUCCGCAAUGGGCGAAAGCCUGACGGAGCAACGCCGCGUGAGUGAUGAAGGUCUUCGGAUCGUAAAACUCUGUUAUUAGGGAAGAACAAAUGUGUAAGUAACUAUGCACGUCUUGACGGUACCUAAUCAGAAAGCCACGGCUAACUACGUG
rnacentral:rRNA from 1 species